UAUAAAUAUAAGUCACUAUGUUCUGAAUGAUGUUAACAUUAAAAUCAUACGUGAUUUCAUUGUAUUUUUCCUUUGAAAUUAGAAAUAUGUCUGAAUCGGAUUGAAUCUCUGAGUCUGCAACAGCGACGAAAAUUGAACCCCAUCCAAUUCUUGAAACCAGUGCGACAGCGAUCACUGGAUGUUGCAACAGAGGCAGGAUGAAGGAAGUGUGCAUGCGGAAAUUUGAAAACGAUGAACUUUCUUCAAAAACGCUUGAAAUCGCAGAGGCUUAAAAUUCUAAAAGGCAGAUUUAAAAAAAAAAAAAAUUAUGUUG